rnacentral:rRNA from 1 species
AUUGAACGCUGGCGGCAUGCUUUACACAUGCAAGUCGAACGGUAACAGGCCUUCGGGCGCUGACGAGUGGCGAACGGGUGAGUAAUGCAUCGGAACGUGCCCAGUCGUGGGGGAUAACGCAGCGAAAGCUGUGCUAAUACCGCAUACGAUCUAUGGAUGAAAGCGGGGGACCGUAAGGCCUCGCGCGAUUGGAGCGGCCGAUGUCAGAUUAGGUAGUUGGUGGGGUAAAGGCUCACCAAGCCAACGAUCUGUAGCUGGUCUGAGAGGACGACCAGCCACGCUGGAACUGGGACACGGUCCAGACUCCUACGGGAGGCAGCAGUGAGGAAUUUUGGACAAUGGGCGCAAGCCUGAUCCAGCAAUGCCGCGUGCAGGAAGAAGGCCUUCGGGUUGUAAACUGCUUUUGUACGGAACGAAACGGCGAGCUCUAAUACAGUUUGCUAAUGACGGUACCGUAAGAAUAAGCACCGGCUAACUACGUGCCAGCCGCCGCUGUAAUAC